rnacentral:tRNA from 1 species
GGGUGUGUAGCUCAGUGGUAGAGCGGCUGACUACAGACCAUCAGGUCCUCGGUUCACAUACGGGUGCGCUCU